ensembl:lncRNA
GAUGCGGCUCUCUCUCAGAAGCAGGGGUGUUGGUGCCGCGCCGCGCCGCGCCUUGGUUCCCGGAGCAGCUCGGCAGGCAUCGCCCCUCGGUGCGGCACUGGGAGCCACCGCGGCCGUCUGUGAGGGGGGGUGGCGGUGAGGAGAGGCGGCCCCGACGGGGCCGCGGUGCAACGCACGGCGCUGGGAGCGGCCCCGGAUACCGUCCAGUUUGUGACCAUUGCCUCCCAUACUGUCACUGGGCACCCGUGAGAAGAGCCUUUUCUUGACUCCUUCUCUUCCCCAUCAGGAAAGGAGCAUUUCCUUGUCUGCCCUGGUAAAUGGUUCUCCUACAGCCCCACGUGACGUGUCCUGUCUGCCAGCCAAGGAGGGCUGGCUGUGACAGCUUCAUGGCCCCUCAGCUCUGCUCCUCACAAUGAGCGUGAGCCCUGACAAGUCUGGAGGUCCAGCGGUGUCCAGCUGACUUGUGUGCUCUCUGGCAGUUGGGAACCAGCGCAGCGUCUGCCUGCAGCGUUUCCAGUGGUUGGAGGAGGACGAAAAGUGCACAGGCUCUGUUGCAUGAAGGUGAGAGUUGGAAUUCUGCAGAAUUUGUCCAGAUUCUGUGCUGACUUCUCGAGAAAGCAGUGAGGAAGAAGAUUAAUUGAAAUCUGUCUCAUUCGGGGUCCAAGAGUUGUGGUAGCGAAACCUUCUUUCUGCAUCCUUCUUUCUGUCACCGCUCUCAGCAUUGCUUUGGGAGAGCGUUCUGAGCUCGCUGAAUGUGAGGCUCUUCCUUUUCACUGAUCCACUCCAUAAACAACCCGUGUUGUGAUUCAUUCAUUGAGGAUAUGGAUGUAGCAAAGCCUUACUAAUGUUCCAGAACUGUGUUUUGGAUACUGUGAGGGCUUCAGGAGUAUUGGAAAGCUUUUGAAAUCUUCAGGGCUUGCAUUAUAAGCCUUCAAAAUGUAGAAAGCCCAGUUGGGUCAGCUGUGCAGGGUACCAGAGCAGAGUGGAGAGCUGAUGACAUAAUCCAGAUAAAGCAAAAACACCCAACCUGCUGUCCAUACAUAAAGGUAUGAGAGUCUACUUGGCCGAUUCCCCUUGAAAAGCCUGCAGCUGUUUCCAUACCGACUCCCACUCACCCACCCACCUGUGAGUCCAGUGUCACCUCAGCCAGGGGAGCUUGCGUGCACACAGAAUGGAAGUGGAAGACGAGCCCCUUCCGACCUUUAACAAAAAUAAAAUGGAGAUGGCAGUUGUUUUUCUGUCUUUAAAGACAAAAACCUUUUUUGCACAUCUUUUGGCUUGAUGACGGGAGCAGGUGUUCUCCCACAGAUACGGCUCUGUGCUGGGACCACUGCUGGCUGGUCUGGUGUGUGAAGGGUUGGUAAAUGCCCGAUGGGGAGCAAAGGUACUGGAAAGGAGUGGGCUGUUAAAUCUCGCUGGUACUGAACAAAUGUAAUAGCUGUCUUCAGUGUAAUUCAUAGCAGAUAGGGGGAAUUCAGAAGGUAUUGUAUUUGUAGCUCUUAACGAACAGUUGAUUUCCUGACAUGAGUAAAUCUGUUAAAAAGCUGGGUAUGUAGCAAGCAGAUACAAAUGUCAUGGCAUAGAUUCUGUAUUGGCUGACGUGCAGGGAAGAGAGUAAUAGCAAUGCAGAGACCUCCGAGUAUGAAAUCCUAUAAAGCAUUUUUUUG